UUUUAUGUAGUUUAAAAAAAACUUUAUAUUUUCAUUAUAAAAUUAAUAUUUAUUAUUCAUAAAAU
rnacentral:tRNA from 1 species